UGCUUUCUUUGCUGGCGACCGGCGCACGGGUGAUAACACGUAUCCACCGCCGAUGACUCGGGGAUAGCCUUUCGAAAGAAAGAUUAAUACCCGAUGGUAUAUCUGAAAGGCAUCUUUCAGCUAUUAAAGAAUUUCGGUCAUUGAUGGGGAUGCGUCCAUUAGUUGUGGCGGGGUAACGGCCACCAACCAUCAUGGAUAGGGUCUGAAGGAAGGUCCCCCACAUUGGAACUGAGACACGGUCCAAACUCCUACGGGAGGCAGCAGUGAGGAAUAUUGGUCAAUGGACGAGAGUCUGAACCAGCCAAGUAGCGUGAAGGAUGACUGCCCUAUGGGUUGUAAACUUCUUUUAUACGGGAAUAAAGUUGGGCACGUGUGCCUUUUUGUAUGUACCGUAUGAAUAAGGAUCGGCUAACUCCGUGCCAGCAGCCGCGGUAAUACGGAGGAUCCGAGCGUUAUCCGGAUUUAUUGGGUUUAAACGGGAGCGUACGGUCGGAUGCUUAAGUCAGUUGUGAAAGUUUGCGGCUCAACCGUAAAAUUGCAGUUGAUACUGGGUGUCUUGAGUACAGUAGAGG
rnacentral:rRNA from 1 species